rnacentral:rRNA from 1 species
GGGUGCGAUCAUACCAGCAAUAAUGCACCGGAUCCCAUCAGAACUCUGAAGUUAAGCUUGCUUGGGCGAGAGCAGUACUAGGAUGGGUGACCUCCUGGGAAGUCCUCGUGUUGCACCCCAC